AGAGUUUGAUCCUGGCUCAGGAUGAACGCUGGCGGCGUGCUUAACACAUGCAAGUCGAACGAUGAUGCCAGCUUGCUGGUGGAUUAGUGGCGAACGGGUGAGUAACACGUGAGUAACCCUGCCCUUAACUCUGGGAUAAGCCUGGGGAAACUGGGUCUAAUACCGGAUAUGACUCCUCAUCGCAGUGGGUGGGGGGUGGAAAGCUUUUAUUGUGGUUUUGGAUGGACUCGCGGCCUAUCAGYUUGUUGGUGAGGUAAUGGCUCACCAAGGCGACGACGGGUAGCCGGCCUGAGAGGGUGACCGGCCACAUUGGGACUGAGACACGGCCCAGACUCCUACGGGAGGCAGCAGUGGGGAAUAUUGCACAAUGGGCGAAAGCCUGAUGCAGCGACGCCGCGUGAGGGAUGACGGCCUUCGGGUUGUAAACCUCUUUCAGUAGGGAAGAAGCGAAAGUGACGGUACCUGCAGAAGAAGCGCCGGCUAACUACGUGCCAGCCGCCGCGGUAAUA
rnacentral:rRNA from 1 species